rnacentral:snRNA from 1 species
AGUUUUGUACAGUGGCAGUAUCGUAGCCAAUGAGGUUUAUCUAAGGCAUGAUUAUUGUUAAUUAAUAUUAUUUCCUAAAGUCUUCUACUUUGAGGAUUGCUCCCAGUUCUCACGAAGGAAUAAUCUGGUAGACCCAAAAAUUUGUGCAAAAGAGAAGAGGGC